rnacentral:rRNA from 1 species
AUUGAACGCUGGCGGCAUGCCUUACACAUGCAAGUCGAACGGUAACAGGUCUUCGGAUGCUGACGAGUGGCGAACGGGUGAGUAAUACAUCGGAACGUGCCCGAUCGUGGGGGAUAACGAAGCGAAAGCUUUGCUAAUACCGCAUAAGAUCUACGGAUGAAAGCAGGGGACCGCAAGGCCUUGCGCGAACGGAGCGGCCGAUGGCAGAUUAGGUAGUUGGUGGGAUAAAAGCUUACCAAGCCGACGAUCUGUAGCUGGUCUGAGAGGACGACCAGCCACACUGGGACUGAGACACGGCCCAGACUCCUACGGGAGGCAGCAGUGGGGAAUUUUGGACAAUGAGCGAAAGCCUGAUCCAGCCAUGCCGCGUGCAGGAUGAAGGCCUUCGGGUUGUAAACUGCUUUUGUACGGAACGAAAAGACUCUGGUUAAUACCUGGGGUCCAAGACGGUACCGUAAGAAUAAGCACCGGCUAACUACGUG